rnacentral:rRNA from 1 species
GAUGAACGCUGGCGGCGUGCCUAAUACAUGCAAGUCGAGCGAACAGACGAGGAGCUUGCUCCUCUGACGUUAGCGGCGGACGGGUGAGUAACACGUGGCUAACCUACCUAUAAGACUGAGAUAACUUCGGGAAACCGGAGCUAAUACCGGAUAAUAUAUUGAACCGCAUGGUUCAAUAGUGAAAGACGGUUUUGCUGUCACUUAUAGAUGGAUCCGCGCCGCAUUAGCUAGUUGGUAAGGUAACGGCUUACCAAGGCGACGAUGCGUAGCCGACCUGAGAGGGUGAUCGGCCACACUGGAACUGAGACACGGUCCAGACUCCUACGGGAGGCAGCAGUAGGGAAUCUUCCGCAAUGGGCGAAAGCCUGACGGAGCAACGCCGCGUGAGUGAUGAAGGUCUUCGGAUCGUAAAACUCUGUUAUUAGGGAAGAACAAAUGUGUAAGUAACUAUGCACGUCUUGACGGUACCUAAUCAGAAAGCCACGGCUAACUACGUG